GAUGAAGAACGUAGCGAAAUGCGAUAAGUAAUGUGAAUUGCAGAAUUCAGUGAAUCAUCGAAUCUUUGAACGCACAUUGCGCCCCUUGGUAUUCCGAGGGGCAUGCCUGUUCGAGCGUCAUUAUAACCCCUCAAGCUCAGCUUGGUGUUGGGGCCUGCUGCACUGGCAGCCCUUAAAAUCAGUGGCGGCGCCAUCUGGCUCUAAGCGUAGUAAUUCUUCUCGCUAUGGAGUCCUGGUGGAUGCUUGCCAUCAACCCCCAAUUUUUCUAUGGUUGACCUCGGAUCAGGUAGGGAUACCCACUGAACUUAAGCAUAUCAAUAAGCGGAGGA
rnacentral:misc_RNA from 1 species